UCCCAAACCCAGACAUCAGCUGCUGCCGUUCCUAUGUGAGGAAGGGUUUACCCCACAGCCGUGGGAAGAAGGGAGCAGCAACACUUGUCCCAUGUUUUGGGGGUGAGAGGCUUUAACAUAAGAAUCAGACCAAGCAGGCAGCCCUUCUCCUCUUCGAGAGUGAAGUGACAUGGGAGAGGAGGCAGGAGCCAAGAGAUGCCUUGCUCACCUGGCUGUGGGCCAGGGAAGGUCUCCUUAGCGUGAGGCAGCCCUGCUGGAACUCUGUUCUGCCAGGUCUGGAGAGUUCGAAACUGGGAGAAGAGAAAGAAGAGAAGAGAGAAAAGGAAAAUUAAUGAAACAAGUAACCUGCCUUAUAUGGAUAUUUGAUUUGCUUGUUUGCACAUUGUUUAGUCCUUACAAGCUCUGAAAAUAAAACACAAGCACAGUAUCAGGCUCAAUUAGGUGCUUAAGAAAUACCUUUUGAUGAUGACAAAUGGCAGGGAUGUUAAUGACACUGCUUCCCUCCAGCUCCUGCUGCACAGAGCGCCCUUGGCUCUUCAGACUUACAGCUCUUUGCCUGAGCUGCUGUGAGCAAGCCUCUGCUGCCCACAGGAGAUGGCCCUGUGGGCAGGGCCUCCCUGUGUCUUUUCACCUUUUGAGACAACCCCAUCCACCUCUUUGGGCAGCAGCUCAUAGCAGGUGCUCCCUGAACAUGUCUGCCUUUGACUUGAAGGGGUCGGGACGCCGCUUGAGGAUGCUAAAGGGAGGCAGCUCAUUGUAAUGCCUUCACCUCCACCACUUCCAGGAACUCCUCCUCUCCUUGUGGAUCUCAGGGCUCAUACGGUUUGCCCAGAGCCCAACAGCUACAAGUGCACUCAAACAGAACAUUCCUCCGUGCGUUUGCUCUUGCAAAAUGUGUGUUGGGGGCGGGGGCGGUGGCUCAUGCCUGUAAUCCCAGCACUUUGGGAGGCUGAGGAGGGUGGAUCACCUGAUAUUAGGAGUUUGAGACCAGCCCGGCCAACAUGGUGAAACCCCGUCUCUACUAAAAAUACAAAAAUCAGUCCAGCGUGGUAGCAGGUGCCUAUAAUCCCAGCUACCUGGAGGCUGAGGCAUGAGAAUCGCUUGAAACCGGGAGGCAGAGGUUGCAGUGAGCUGAGAUCGUGCCACUGCACUCCAGCCUGGGCCACAGGGUGAGACUCCGUCUCAAAAAAAAAAAAAAAAUGUGUGUUGGAUCCCAUGGUUCCCCUGCUGCCCAACACACCGAGAACCAAACGCACACUUGCACGCUCGCCGUGGGGCCUCAGUCACCUCCUGACUCCCAAACACACAGCUCUCACUGCUGCCUCCCGUGCUCCCCCAGGCCAGCGCUGGCUCUCUCAGUGCUAGUAUCUUUUUAUAAGGAUACCAGUCGUGCUGCAUUAGAGCCCACCCUACUCCAGCAUGACCUCAUCCUAACUUAACUAAUUACAUCUGCAGUGACCCAAUUUCCAAAUAAGUUCACAUUCUGAAUUACUGGGGGAAUAGAAUUUCAACAUAUGAAUUUUGAGGGGACACAGUUCAACCCAUUACUGCAGCUAUCCACAGAAGAAAGUCCAAAUUCCUUAUGUGGCAUUCAAGGCCCUCUGUAAUCCAAUGAGAUCCACGUUUCCAGCUGUUUCUCUUCUUCUUCUCCCCUAGGUGCACACAUGUGAUACUGUUUUGUAUCAAGGCAGGAUCAUGAGGUACAUAGAACAGUGAAAUUCACAGAGACAGAAAGUUGAAUGGUGGUUUCCAGGGGCAAAAAAAAAAACAAGGGAAGAUUCACACUCCCUUGCAGGUUUCUCUCCACAGACCUCACCAGGUGUCAAAAAAAGAGUUCUCCAGGGGAUUCCAAUGUCUGCCAAGCUGUAAAGCCAUCGGCCUUUUGGGUAGUUAUCUUCAUUUCUUCUUUGGGGAGAAGCUUGAUUUUCUGUAAGCUGCAGAAGAUAGCUCAAACCAGCAGCUCAGCCAGUUAAGGGGACGGAGGCUGCUGGUCUGCAUCCUUCCAAUGGUCUUUCGUCUCCCUUUUUCUCCUAACUUAAAGCUUUCAUGAUGGAGAAGUCUUCCCUGUUGUCUGCAAUUUUCCUUCUCUCAAAACAACCUUCUGAAUCCUCUUUUGGGGUGGGGUUUCAGAUGUUGUGAAACCAUCACAUGCUUAUGAACUAGCAGACAUACAGCACCGGAAGUUGAGAGGGUGGACUGCUAUUAGACUGCCUGGGCUGAGUCCUGAGGGCACCUCUUGCUUGCUUGAAUGACUUCGGGCAAGUUACUUCACCUCUCCAAGAUGUCAUCGGGGCUCAUCAAAGUACCCGCCCCAUGAGGUCUCCUUGUGAGAACAACAUGAGAAAAGCCUGUGCAAAAUGCUUGCCUGCCACGUAGAAAAAAAGCUUCCAUAAAUGUUGGUUCAUAUUGUGAGCUUUCAAAUCAACCAAGUGUGAAUAAUUUCUACUUCAUUCCAUUGGCUAUGGCAGGGGAAUACAAAGAUUUGUCAGAGCCAUUUCCAGCCUACAGGAGUUUACAGCUAUCUGACUUUACAGCUACGAGUGCCGUGAGAGAGCUACAAACCCAAUGCUGCAGGUGUUCAAAGUCAGAGAUUUAAUAACCACGGAGCCGGGAAUUAGGGAAAGCCUAAUG
rnacentral:lncRNA from 1 species